UUCGCAAUGCCCGAAAGGGUGACGAAGCGACGCCGCGUGGGUGAGGAAGGCCUUCGGGUUGUAAAGCCCUGUCAGGAGUUAAGAAAUGUAAGUGCGCUAAUAUCGCAUUUACUUGACGAAGGCUCCAAAGGAAGCCACGGCUAACUCUGUGCCAGCAGCCGCGGUAAUACAGAGGUGGCAAGCGUUGUUCGGAAUUAUUGGGCGUAAAGGGCACGUAGGUGGGUUUGUAAGUCAGAUGUGAAAGCCUUCUGUUCAACGGAAGAAUUGCAUCUGAAACUGCAAAUCUUGAGUAUAGGAGGGGAGAAUGGAACUUCUGGUGGAGCGGUGAAAUGCGUAGAUAUCAGAAGGAACGCCGGCGGCGAAAGCGAUUCUCUGGUCUAUUACUGACACUCAGUGUGCGAAAGCUAGGGGAGCAAACGGGAUUAGAUACCCCGGUAGUCCUAGCUGUAAACGAUGGGCACUAAGUAGAGGGGUUUU
rnacentral:rRNA from 1 species